GAUGAAGAACGUAGUGAAAUGCGAUAAGUAGUGUGAAUUGCAGAAUUCAGUGAAUCAUCGAAUCUUUGAACGCACAUUGCGCCCCUUGGUAUUCCAUGGGGCAUGCCUGUUCGAGCGUCAUUUGUACCCUCAAGCUAAGCUUGGUGUUGGGUGUUUGUCCACUCCCUCGUGUUUGGACUCGCAUUAAAACAAUUGGCAGCCAGUGUUUUGGUAUUGAAGCGCAGCACAAUUUGCGAUUCUAGCCUAGAAUACUAGCAUCCAUCAAGUCAUUUUUAACGCUUGACCUCGGAUCAGGUAGGGAUACCCGCUGAACUUAAGCAUAUCAAUAAGCGGAGA
rnacentral:misc_RNA from 1 species